AUUGAACGCUGGCGGCACGCUUAACACAUGCAAGUCGAACGGUAACAGGCCCUUCGGGGUGCUGACGAGUGGCGGACGGGUGAGUAAUGCUUAGGAAUCUGCCUAGUAGUGGGGGAUAACCCGGGGAAACUCGGGCUAAUACCGCAUACGCCCUACGGGGAAAGGCGGGGACGUUUCGGCCGUCGCGCUAUUAGAUGAGCCUAAGUCCGAUUAGCUAGUUGGUAGGGUAAGUGGCCUACCAAGGCGACGANCGGUAGCUGGUCUGAGAGGACGACCA
rnacentral:rRNA from 1 species